CAAAGCACUUUGAAGAGAGAGUUAAAGAGGACGUGAAACCGGUAAGAUGGAAACGGAUAGAGCCAGCGAAGUCGCCCGUAUUCAGCCAAAGACUCGGGUCUGACAGCUGUCGUGUUUCUAAUCGAGCACGGCAGUUGCCAAGGCCUGUUUCGAGGUGCAUUUGCGGGUGUUUGCGCUGAGACUUGCGGAGCAGCUUCUGGAACCGUGCUUAGAGGCUUCCCUCUGGGUUGUACCUGGGCGCAGCUACAGAUGUUUGCUCUGCUCGUACUUGGGCUUGGCCUACGGACUCGGGCUGCGCCGUUGUUGUCUGGCGGUGGUAACGCAUGCGUUACCUAGCCUGGUAGCGGCGGUUCGGCUUGCUGUCCUCUAGCCCAUUCUCGGUGUAGAAGCUGGUCAUCUCUCCGACCCGUCUUGAAACACGGACCAAGGAGUUUAGCGUAUACGCGAGCCAUUCGGUGCAAAACCGACAGGCAGAAUGAAAGUAAAGGUCCAGUUGCUGGACUGACAUGCGAACGCCACGGCUUCGGCCCUGGUGUGCAGCAUGGUCCCGUUGCGGUCGCUUGCGACGCAGCGGAGACAGAGCGUAUGCGCUGAGACCCGAAAGAUGGUGAACUAUUCCUGAGCAGGACGAAGCCAGAGGAAACUCUGGUGGAAGUCCGAACCGAUUCUGACGUGCAAAUCGAUCGUCUGACUUGGGUAUA
rnacentral:rRNA from 1 species